GAGUCUGUAGCUCAGCUGGAUAGAGCAACGGCCUUCUAAGCCGUAGGUCGAGGGUUCGAAUCCCCCCAGGCUCGUCA
rnacentral:tRNA from 2 species